rnacentral:tRNA from 1 species
GGAGAGAUGGUCGAGCUGGUUUAAGGCACCGGUCUUGAAAACCGGCGUAGGCGCAAGCCUACCGUGAGUUCGAAUCUCACUCUCUCCG